UUAAUAUUUAACAUCAGCUGAAACUUUGGGGAUGCCAAAACAUCUUGUAAUACUUAAGUGCCUAUCACUUUACAGUGGAGUAAUUCUGUUUAUUUAGAUUCCUCCUUUUUAAGCAAGACUGCCUUUCUGUAAAAUAUUGAUUUUAGUUUUUAAAUAGACAUGACAAACAGCUUGGGUUUAUGAAAACCAAAACCUCCCCUAAAUAUCUGGGGACUUUUCCCCUCCAAUUUGAUGCUAAUAAAUAAGCAGAAGGGGGAGAGUGGCUCAAAGAAGCCUUGGGACCAGCAUUAAAAUAACAUUUAGGUGACAACAGAAAUGCUAAAUAUUCUCCAUGGUGUAUAUCUAAACAGGAUGGGUGUCUCACCUCCCCUCACAUAAUUAAAAUGCUGAACAGCAGCACAGGAAGAGUUACUUAAGCCUUUGGUUCUAAAAUAGCAAUGCUCAGAGCAAAGCCAGGCAUUUGUAGGGCUUUGGAACCGAGGUCUGUAACCCACGGGAAGCAGCUGCUGAUUUAUUCCAUCAAUCUCACAUUUGAAAGCUAUCAGUUCUCUGGAUGCCUCAGGUUUGCAGGACAGGCUCAGGACACAUGGAUGUCUGCUGCCAUCAUUAAAUGAGGAGGUGAGGGCAGUGCCCUCUGAAGCAGGAGGACACCUCCAUGUGUGCCACUGUCCUUGGAUGAGGGAGGAUGGCAGGAGAAGAGGGCCAAGGCAUCCCUGGAGAAGUCCUGCAAGCUCCCAGCUUGCCAUUUGUGCCAUCCUGGCAUUUCCCUGCUAUCUCCUGGUGCUGAAGGACAGCUCAAACGCCUCGUUAAUCACCGCUGAUGACGGAGCUGUGGCACUCAGGUCCUGCUGGCUGCUGCUUCCCCAGCCAGGGAUGUUUUGCCGAUGCUGCUCCCUGAAAACUCCAGCUGAAAACUGGGGGAAAACUGCCCCCCUCGGAGCUGUAGUUUGUGGAAGAUGUUCCUACUCUGUUCCAGUCUCUCAUUCCUGCUCAUAGGGCACACAGUGAGUUGUGCCCUUGCAAACCUGCAUCUUUUUACAGUACAUUUUUCCCUUCUCUGUGCUUGUCAAGAUCGAGGGCAGCUCCGUGGUGGGCUGAUCUGCUGCUGCAUUGAUCUGGCAAAGGCUGGGGGUGAAAGCCCCACAGCCUCCAGACGAGGCCAUAGAGCUUUCAGGAUGCAGUUUUUCCGAAUCUGUCCAUCACACAGCAAACAAACACCCCCAGCCUGGAGGCAGCUGGCUCGGGGGUGAGCAUCGAUCGCUGGCUGCUGGGUGAGACCCACCAGAACCCCACCGGUGUCAGGAGGCAGCUCCAGCCCUCCCAGCUCCCAAUCACAGGGCUGGGAAGGAAAGCCAGCCUUCUCAGGAAUCAAUCAUUUGACAUCUGCUGUCAGCCUUCUGACACCCAGCCCCGCCGGUGAGGACCCCAGCAGGAAGCCUGGUGGAUCUCAGCUUGUUUUGGUCUUAA
rnacentral:lncRNA from 1 species